rnacentral:rRNA from 1 species
GAUGAACGCUGGCGGCGUGCCUAAUACAUGCAAGUCGAGCGAACAGACGAGGAGCUUGCUCCUCUGACGUUAGCGGCGGACGGGUGAGUAACACGUGGAUAACCUACCUAUAAGACUGGGAUAACUUCGGGAAACCGGAGCUAAUACCGGAUAAUAUAUUGAACCGCAUGGUUCAAUAGUGAAAGACGGUUUUGCUGUCACUUAUAGAUGGAUCCGCGCCGCAUUAGCUAGUUGGUAAGGUAACGGCUUACCAAGGCGACGAUGCGUAGCCGACCUGAGAGGGUGAUCGGCCACACUGGAACUGAGACACGGUCCAGACUCCUACGCGAGGCAGCAGUAGGGAAUCUUCCGCAAUGGGCGAAAGCCUGACGGAGCAACGCCGCGUGAGUGAUGAAGGUCUUCGGAUCGUAAAACUCUGUUAUUAGGGAAGAACAAAUGUGUAAGUAACUAUGCACGUCUUGACGGUACCUAAUCAGAAAGCCACGGCUAACUACGUG